UACGAAGGGUGCAAGCGUUACUCGGAAUCACUGGGCGUAAAGCGUGCGUAGGCGGUUCGUUAAGUCUGCUGUGAAAGCCCUGGGCUCAACCUGGGAACUGCAGUGGAUACUGGCGGACUAGAGUGUGAUAGAGGAUGGUGGAAUUCCCGGUGUAGCGGUGAAAUGCGCAGAUAUCGGGAGGAACACCGGUGGCGAAGGCGGCCUGCUGGGCAGUUGCUGACACUGAGGCGCGACAGCGUGGGGAGCAAACAGG
rnacentral:rRNA from 1 species